UCCGAUAUGGUGUAGUGGGCCAACAUGAUGCCCUCUCAUCUCAGGUUAGGCAUAGCCCCGAGUUCGAUUCUCGGUUUCGGAA
rnacentral:tRNA from 1 species